AACAUUUGGGGUUAAAAGAAUACAUAUAAAGAUCGCACAUAAUACAUGUUUCAUAGUGCUCCAUAUAAAGGGAUAUGAUGAACUGAAGAUCAGCCAUUUGUCCCUGUUAGAGUUUAAACAAAGGUUCUCAGGCAUGAAUGGACACUGUUUUUAGGUUGUAAAGAGCCUGCCUGUGCUAUCUCCCCAAAUCAUAUCUCCUGGGGUUUGACACUUAUAAGAUAAGAGAAUGAAAAUCCUGGCACGGCAUGACACUAAACACAGUGUGGUCUCUGUGUUAUGAAACUAAAAGGGCUAUUCACAAAUCCCAGUGAAAUUAUAUAUCUUAAAUAGUAUUGUAUCUUUAUAAUGCCACAACAACAACAUGUAUAUCAGUAAUUCACAUAAUACUACUCGUUAAUACAUAGACACUACUGGGGUCCCAGGUAUAAGAUCCUAAAAUAACUUCAAAGUAUUAGACUGCCUUGAUCACAGCCCGACAUUAGUUUAAAGGAACUUUCCAAGGCAUGUGUGUUGAUCAUAAAACCUUAUCUCAAUCAUAACUUUAGAUGUCUGACAAUUGUUUGACAUACAGGACAAUUUAUGGGGGGGUUUUAUAGGCCCAAGUUAGAGAGGUCAUAAGUCAUGAUUAACUCUGCUUGACCUCAUCAUUAGGAAUAAUUCCUUACACGCUACUGCCCCCUACAGGUUAAUAUCGGCAUUGGUUAAGUAUAGACUUAUCAAAACCUAUUAUUAUGUGACAUCGGCAGUCAUGUGAUAGUGAUGUGACACACCCACUUCUUGGGAGAGAUAAAAAGGGAUUACAGCAGACAGGAGAGAGGCUGAUGGGAAGAAGCUUGAUGGGAGAGAGAUGGCUGAUCUCUGGAAGCUGCUCUGAUCUCUGAAGGAAGCUGGAAAGCAGAGAGUGACCGCAAACACGUAGGGGCUCUCAAGAGUCCUUCAUUAGGACUUUCCCUUCUCAAACAGAAAGAUCUCUUAUUACUGAAAAUGAUUGACAAUCCAGACCAGAUCGUUGAUUGGUAAAGGUGAAGUGAUCUACCAAAGACGCAACGAUCGCAUGGAUGAUGUUAAUCCUUGGCACCCCAUUCCGGAGGGAACCGUCACCAAACCACACUCCAGACCAGAUCGUUGAUUGGUAAAGGCGAAGUUAACCACCAAAAGAUACCGCGAUCGUCUGGAUGAUGUUAAUCCGUGAUGCCCAGUUAAGGAUGGAACCUGCCGCCACAUCGAAUCCUUCAUCAGGAGUCAUGAAGCGAGAUGCUCCAGGAUUCGUAUUGUCGGAAAGAAAGAUUUGUUGCAGAAGUCCCUUGUUCAUUUGAAUCCAAGAAUAUCCGUCGAAAGAAGGGAUAUUGAGUCCCAUUUACAGCUUGUAACACUACAAGAGCGGAUUCACUGAAGAGUUCUUCAAUUGCUGGUUUUCCAGUUUUGUUUUUAUUACAUUUGAAAUGGGGGGGUGACACCACCACUGCAACAGUUCAUUUUGUUUUUAUAAAGACUUGAACUCGUCAAGGAAGAUCCAAGUCAUACAAGAACACUCUUUAUCAUAUGGACGAAGAGAGGAACAUUUUUUUUUUAGUAUAAAGAAAAAUAAUAAUGUGGCCAUAUCUUUUAACCACUGAUAUUUCUUCGGACACCGUUUCUUAACAUGUGUUUGGCUAUUCGCCACACUAUGAAAGAACGUGGGGGGGAUUUGUCGGAACAUUUGGGGUUAAAAGAAUACAUAUAAAGAUCGCACAUAAUACAUGUUUCAUAGUGCUCCAUAUAAAGGGAUAUGAUGAACUGAAGAUCAGCCAUUUGUCCCUGUUAGAGUUUAAACAAAGGUUCUCAGGCAUGAAUGGACACUGUUUUUAGGUUGUAAAGAGCCUGCCUGUGCUAUCUCCCCAAAUCAUAUCUCCUGGGGUUUGACACUUAUAAGAUAAGAGAAUGAAAAUCCUGGCACGGCAUGACACUAAACACAGUGUGGUCUCUGUGUUAUGAAACUAAAAGGGCUAUUCACAAAUCCCAGUGAAAUUAUAUAUCUUAAAUAGUAUUGUAUCUUUAUAAUGCCACAACAACAACAUGUAUAUCAGUAAUUCACAUAAUACUACUCGUUAAUACAUAGACACUACUGGGGUCCCAGGUAUAAGAUCCUAAAAUAACUUCAAAGUAUUAGACUGCCUUGAUCACAGCCCGACAUUAGUUUAAAGGAACUUUCCAAGGCAUGUGUGUUGAUCAUAAAACCUUAUCUCAAUCAUAACUUUAGAUGUCUGACAAUUGUUUGACAUACAGGACAAUUUAUGGGGGGGUUUUAUAGGCCCAAGUUAGAGAGGUCAUAAGUCAUGAUUAACUCUGCUUGACCUCAUCAUUAGGAAUAAUUCCUUACACGCUACUGCCCCCUACAGGUUAAUAUCGGCAUUGGUUAAGUAUAGACUUAUCAAAACCUAUUAUUAUGUGACAUCGGCAGUCAUGUGAUAGUGAUGUGACACACCCACUUCUUGGGAGAGAUAAAAAGGGAUUACAGCAGACAGGAGAGAGGCUGAUGGGAAGAAGCUUGAUGGGAGAGAGAUGGCUGAUCUCUGGAAGCUGCUCUGAUCUCUGAAGGAAGCUGGAAAGCAGAGAGUGACCGCAAACACGUAGGGGCUCUCAAGAGUCCUUCAUUAGGACUUUCCCUUCUCAAACAGAAAGAUCUCUUAUUACUGGUAAUGUAUAAUUUUGAUCUUAAAUCCUCUAUGCAAUAGGUAGUUUAAACAGUUACCAACUGGGGCCACUUUAUUAUCUUAGCAAGUGUUAAUUGGAUCUGAAAUAUCUUUAACUGCAGCAUAAGAUUAUUCAGAGGCAAUUAAAUAAGUAACGCCUAGACGUGCUGUAAAUAGACACUUGUUACAUAUAUCGAUCACAAUAUCAUUGUGAGUCCUAGUGAAUGGCCUAAUGUUGGGAUAUGUUUAAACAGGUGAUGCAGUAGAGAUAGCCUUGUGUGUUAAAAAGACAUUCUUGGCCAAAUUACCAAGAACUGUCCACAGGACAUCUUGUCCUUGUGUUUUAUGUAGCAGU